rnacentral:lncRNA from 1 species
CACCAUCACCACCAUCACAUUGCAUCACCAUCACCAUCACUAUCACCACCAUCACCAUCACCACCAUCACCACCACCACCACCACCAUCACCACCAUCACCACCACCACCAUCACCACCACCACCAUCACCACCAUCACCAUCACCACCACCACCAUCAUCACCACCAUCACCACCAUCACCAUCACCAUCACCACCACCAUCAUCACCACCACCACCAUCACCACCAUCACCAUCAUCACCAUCACCAUCAUCACCACCAUCACCAUCACCACCACCACCAUCACCACCACCAUCAUCACCACCACUGUCAUCACCACCACCAUCAUCACCACCAUCACCAUCAUCACCAUCAUCACCACCACUAUCAUCACCACCAUCACCACCACCAUCAUCACCACCACCAUCAUCACCACCACCACCAUCACCACCACCACCAUCAUCACCAUCACCAUCAUCACCACCAUCACCAUCACCACCAUCACCAUCACCACCACCACCAUCACCACCACCACUAUCAUCACCACCACCAUCAUCACCACCAUCACCAUCACCACCAUCACCAUCACCACCACCACCAUCAUCACCACCACUAUCAUCACCACCAUCACCAUCAUCACCAUCAUCACCACCACCAUCAUCACCACCAUCACCACCACCAUCAUCACCACCACCAUCAUCACCACCACCACCACCACCAUCACCACCAUCACCACCACCACCACCACCACCAUCACCACCAUCACCAUCACCACCACCAUCACCAUCACCACCAUCACCACCACCACCACCACCAUCAUCACCACCACUAUCAUCACCACCACCAUCAUCACCACCAUCAUCACCACCAUCACCACCACCAUCAUCACCACCACCAUCAUCACCACCAUCACCAUCAACACCACCACAAUCACCACCACCACCACCACCAUCACCACCACCACCACCAUCAUCACCAUCAUCACCAUCAUCACCAUCACCACCACAUCAUCAUCACCAUCAUUACCAUCGUGCUGUGGGGGUCAUGGCAGCUGUACUCCAACUCAG